rnacentral:rRNA from 1 species
AUUGAACGCUGGCGGCAUGCCUUACACAUGCAAGUCGAACGGUAACAGGUCUUCGGAUGCUGACGAGUGGCGAACGGGUGCGUAAUACAUCGGAACGUGCCCGAUCGUGGGGGAUAACGAAGCGAAAGCUUUGCUAAUACCGCAUCCGAUCUACGGAUGAAAGCAGGGGACCGCAAGGCCUUGCGCGAACGGAGCGGCCGAUGGCAGAUUAGGUAGUUGGUGGGAUAAAAGCUUACCAAGCCGACGAUCUGUAGCUGGUCUGAGAGGACGACCAGCCACACUGGGACUGAGACACGGCCCAGACUCCUACGGGAGGCAGCAGUGGGGAAUUUUGGACAAUGGGCGAAAGCCUGAUCCAGCCAUGCCGCGUGCAGGAUGAAGGCCUUCGGGUUGUAAACUGCUUUUGUACGGAACGAAAAGACUCUGGUUAAUACCUGGGGUCCAUGACGGUACCGUAAGAAUAAGCACCGGCUAACUACGUG